GGGUUAGUGGUCUAGCGGUUUACGAUUCUCGCUUUGGGUGCGAGAGGCCCCGGGUUCGAAUCCCGGCUGACUCC
rnacentral:tRNA from 1 species